UCUCAUCUACUCUUUCAUACGGAAAUCAAGAAAGGCUUCCAAGAAGAGAGAACCGCCACAAGCUGCCGGUGCAUGGCCGGUUAUUGGCCACCUUCAUCUUCUAUCAGGCUCGCAGCCACCUCACAUAACUCUCGGAAACUUGGCUGACAAAUACGGGCCAAUAUUCGCCAUCAAGCUUGGUGUCCACAGAACAUUGAUAGUCAGUAAUGGAGAGAUAGCCAAAGAGUGCCUUACCACAAACGACAAAGCUUUUGCCAAUCGUCCUAAAUCUCUUGCCAUGGAAAUUCUGGGCUAUGACUAUUCUAUGCUGGGCUUCAGUCCGUAUGGAGAGUACUGGCGCCAAAUGCGCAAGAUAAUCACUCUUGAGCUUCUCUCUAAACAUCGGUUAGAGAUGCUGAAGCAUGUGAGAGAGGUCGAGGUAAAGACAGCCAUAAAAGGAUUAUAUCAAGAAUGGAUGAAGAGUAGAAACAGUUCCAGUAAGCUUUUGGUAGAGAUGAAAAAAUGGUUCUUUGAUAUAACCUUAAAUGUGAUAUUGAAGGUAAUAGUAGGGCAGCGAUUCGUGGAGUUACUGGACGGUGAGCAGGAUGAAGGAAGUAGCAAUUCAUGGCAAGAUGCUCUGAGGGAAUUUAUGGAAUUAUCAGGGAAAUUUUCAGUAUCGGAUGCACUUCCUUAUUUGAGGUGGUUAGACUUGGGCGGUGUUGAGAAAGAGAUGAAGCAGAACCUAGAAAAGCUAGACUGUGUUGUUAGGAAAUGGUUACAAGACCGGAGGGACAAGAAAAGUUCAGGAAUAGCAAAACGACAGGAAGAUUUCAUGGAUGUAUUGCUGACAAUUCUCAAAGAUGCAGAAGAACUUUCGGGUCGAGAUGCUGAUACUAUCAACAAGGCUACGUGCCUGGUAUGUACGUGAUCAUGGUGAAAGCUACUACCCUUAAUACAUUACAUUUACAUAUGCAGAAACCCCUUUUACAUUAGGAUCCCUAAUCUUGUUUAAUUCAUCUAAGGUCUUUAAUUAAUUUUGUUAUAAGUUUUACAAGUAGUGCUUCUGAAAAUAAUUCUUAUCGCCUUCUGGAGAAAAAGCAAAAAAUUAUCCUAUAUUAACACAGAAAUAUUUAGGAGUCCAAUAUAAUGCUAACUAAGAAUCCAAACACNNNNNNNNNNNNNNNNNNNNNNNNNNNNNNNNNNNNNNNNNNNNNNNNNNNNNNNNNNNNNNNNNNNNNNNNNNNNNNNNCAACACGUUUCCCCGGAGAAAGAGGAGGGUAGGGAAUAGAGAGGUGAAACAAAUUUUCUCGUUUGAGAGAGAAUUGGAAAAAUAUUUUAUUUUUAAUAAUAAUAAUAAUAAUAAUAAUAAUAAUAAUAAUAAUAACUACGAGUUCAAUAUUUUUUUUAUUUUUCAUUAUUUAUUAUAUAAUUUAGUUUUUAUAGAAAGAAAAACUUUAUUAAAAUGCUCAAUGUGAAAAAUAAAAAAUUAAACUAAUUAAUUAUUUUUAUUAGAAAUAAAUUUGAUAUUUCAAUAAAUUUUUUUAAUUUUAGACGAGUUUAGUAUUAUUAAUUAAUUAAUUAUCUUAAUUAUAAAUUUUUUAAUUAUUUUUGUUAAAUAUUAGAACUAAAAUACACUAAAAUUAAAAAAAUCCUACACUCUUUAAGUUUUCAAUUGAGGUUUGAUUAUCAAUUUAUUGAUAAUUUCAAGUAAUUAAAUUAUUUAUUUCUUGCUCAAUUUUCUUUAUUUUAUCUGAUAGUUUUAAACAAUAAAAGUUAAUAUUUUUAAUAUUUUUUUUCUAUUUUUACUCUUUUUCAAAACAAUCGUACCAUUCGAUUUUCUUCUCACUUUCUAUCCCCCAAUAAAAUUCUUUUCCAAAUAGAGUUUUUUUUUUUCUUCUUUUCGCACUAAGCAAAGAGUUAGAUUUGUGGAUACACAUCAAAAUAAGGAAUUAUUAAAUAGAUUUAAUAUAUCAAUGUCAUCUGUAAAUAAAAUUAACUAUAAUAAUACAUGUAAUUAUUUAUUAGCUAUUAUAUUUCUAUUUGUUGGUUUUUUUAUUAUAGAUGGUUAAUAGUAAUAAAUUAACUAACUAACACAAAUAUAGUACUUAAUAAAAUUAUCAUAUACCAACAAUUAAUUCAAUUUAUCUAAGAAUAAUGUGAUAGAUUGAAUCUAUCUAAAUAUUCCUUCAAGAACAAAUAUUAUUAAUAGGAGUAAGUUAUGAACUGUGAGUAGCAUAAUUGCUAACUUUAUCAAUACUCUUUAGUUGAUUUUUUUGAUUAAAGUCUCUUUUCUUUUUCUUUUUUUCCAGUGAGGAUUGAGUUCAUAAAAUUUAUAUUUCUUCCUUUCGCAAAAAAAUUUAGUUCUAUCCGUUACGUUUUAAGGUAAAUAUAAGUUUAACUAAAUUAUUAUACAGUAGUUAUAUAUGUUCUAACUUGAUAUUUUUCUGAACUGGCACAGGCUUUGAUUUUAGCAGCCUCGGACACAACAGCAAUAACAUUGACCUGGACAUUGUCUUUAUUACUCAAUAAUCGUGAAGCUCUAAAGACAGCCCAGCAUGAAGUAGACAUCCAUGUUGGUAAAGAAAGGCAAGUGACCGAGUCAGACGCGCAGGAUCUGGUUUACCUCCAAGCCGUCAUCAAAGAAUCCUUCAGAUUGUAUCCUGCCGUGCCGUUGUUGCUGCCACAUGAAGCCAUGGAAGAGUGUACUGUAAACGGCUAUCAUAUCCCGGCAGGAACACGACUUAUCAUAAAUGCUUCAAAAGUUCAUAAAGACCCAUCCGUGUGGUUAAAUCCUCAGGAAUUUCAGCCAGAAAGAUUUCUUACAAGUCACAAGGAUGUUGACUUCAGGGGCCAAAAUUUCGAUCUGAUACCAUUUGGCAGUGGAAGAAGAAAAUGCCCUGGGAUCUUAUUUGCUCUUCAAGUUUUAAGCCUUACACUUGCUACUGUUCUACAUUCGUUUGAAAUUGAAACUUCAUCAGACAAUCCUAUUGAUAUGUGUGAGAGUGCUGGAACAACCAAUGCCAAAGCCUCUCCCUUGGAAGUUGUUCUUACCCCACGCCUUCCUGCUCACUUGUACUAGAUAUGAUAAAAUAACUUCAAAAUGUUUUAAUCUUCGUUUGAAAAAUGUUUCCCUUUCUUAAUAUAAGUCCAAUUAGUGAAAUAAUCAAUCUUGAUUCGAUAUAUGGAUUGGCAAAUUAUGUUGGCAUCAGUUCCAAAAAAAUAUUAUAUAUGUUACUCGAACAAGAAAAGGCUUCUUCGAUGCAUAACAUAACAACAAUAAAAAAGAAAGUCAUUUACAAAUCUACUCUUAGAAGAAUGGUGAAAUCCACAACUAAAAGUAUAAUAAUCCUAUCAUUCUUUCCAGGUUCACCUAUUAUGAAUUACUCUUUGGUGAUACUUGAAUGAAUGUACAUAAUUCGAAUUGACAUUGUAUAUAAUUUAAAUUAGUAUGAAGAUUUGAUUUGUAAAAAAUAUGAUCUGGCAAAAUGCUCAUACAUCAACAGUUACAUGGACCAUUAAUGAAAGGCAAUAACUUUGUACAUUAAAUAAAUGAGUGAUAAUCACUCAAUCCAUUACUUAAAAAGUCUCUUCUAUAUCUUUCAAAAAGAAAAAGGUCUCCAAUAUAUUAGCAAAAUAUUUUAAAAAGACAAACACCAAAAACAUAAGUGGUCUUCUAUUUGAUCUUUCCUUUUCUUUUUUUAAAGUGAAUAACAUCUUGUCUUUUAACUAGUAACGAAUCUUGCAAUCAUUGGCUAGUCUCCCAGAAGCAUCGCGUAUCAAAGCUGUUACUUGAACUAUAUAUCAAUUAAAACCCACAGAUUGGCUUUCUUGCAACAACUCUAUCGAUCAACCGAAUUUUAUUAGGAGCCAUGCACUUGCUUGUGGUUGCAAUGUUUGCAUUUCUCCUUGAUGGCUAUCAGCACCCGUAAGGUGAUAAUUCUACUGGAUAAAGGAUGGUGUUUCAAGGGUUAUAUUUGCAUUAGCCUUCUUCAGACUAUCUUUUCAGUAUUUAUAGGUGGCAGGGGUGGUCCUAAACUAUAGGAAGAUGUGGGCAGCCUAUUUUACAAAGUGGUGGUGAUNNNAAGACAUCAUUGUUAACUAGGCAAGUUCUUAUCUCGCUUCGGGGGUUGCCUUGAGGAUCUCUUAUUCCUUUAUUGUUUAUUACUAAUACUAAAAGAAAAAAACAUGCAAGAAAAGAAGCCCAUCACAACCUAUGGGUGCAUGGCUUGUUCUCGCGGCGACCUCCCUCUAUGAGGAGGACGAUUAGGACCCCAUUUAAUCUUGGGCAACAUGGCUGACAAGUAUGCUUCAAUCUUUACCAGCAAGAUGAGAGUGCAUCGGUCUCUGAUUAUAAGUAGUUGGAAAUUGGCAAAAGAAUGUUUCACCACUAAUGACAAAAUCUUCGCUAACCGUCCAGAUUUUCUAGCAGCAGAGCUCAUGGGCUAUAACAGUGCCAUGUUCGGUUUUGGUCCUUACGGCCAGUAUUGGCGCCAAAUGCGCAAGAUAACAACACUUGAGCUCCUGUCUAACUACCGACAAAUCCUAUCAAUAUUAUUACAAGUAUCAACAGGCAAUAAGGCCGUUCGCCUAGUAUAGACUGCUAGGCCCAUCAGCGUUGAAGUAACAAGAGUUCUUCUUACUACCAAAGACAUCAGCAAUCGAGUCGAGUAUGCAGCUUGUCCAAAAUAGCAUUAUACGUUUUCUUACCUACCCGUUCAUGAAUGACCGGGACCCCAAGAUAUUUCCCAAGAUUCAGUGUAUCCUUAAAACGGAAGAGCAUACAUAUCCUUCUUGAUCUCUUAAGCCAGAUUAUUAGAGAACAAAAUUGAAGUCUUGCUCUUGCUAACUUUAUCUCCCGAAGCCAAGCAAAACUUGUUAAGCACAUCAUCAAGAACGGCAGCUUUGUCUCAGAGACGCCCUUGCAAAGAGGAACAAGUCAUCAACGAAGAAAAGAUAGGAAAACCGGGGCAUGGGCCAUUCCAAAAAACUCAAACGGCUCCCAAUGCCCAGUCCGAACCGAAUGCAAAAAAGCAUGAGACAACCGCUCCAUGCUAAUAGCAAAGAGGUAUGAUGACAUGGGUCACCUUGGCGUGGCGAAUACCCUUUAAAGGAGAGAAUGGCUCAGUGAGCUGAACAUCCCAUUCCAGAUACAUAGAAGCUGACGCAACACACUUUAUAAUGACUCUAAGAAGAGAACCUGGCAGCCCAAAAUCCACAAGACAGUCAAGGAUAAUAAAAUCCCAAGGGAACGUAGGCAUGACGACGCAUAGAGCGGAUUAUCUCCUGAACAAAAAUAUAAUGUUAUUUGUAAUUUGCCUAAAUUCAGAAAGAGAACGACAUAUACUAAUAUCCACUAAUUGGUAUGUGGUGCCAUGGAUGACUUCAAAGAUUCGAUAUAAAGUUGAUUAAUAUGUAUGUACAAACAAGUGAGUUGUGAAUUUGGAAGGCAUACUUCACGUUGCAUCGCAGCUUCAUUAGAAUCCAAAUGAGUAGAAACAACAAUCCUCUUCGUUUUUUGUCCUGCAUCAGUUGGAUUCUAUUCAGUUAGCUUAUGUGGCAGCUGUUUAUUCAUCACCAUUUUCCCAUCCUUUGUUUGAUUUUGAUGGGUCAUUAUUGGAUUUCAAACAACGCUUCCAUCAAAUUCUAAUGGUCCAGUCAAUAUUUAAAUCUCAGCCACAAGAAAUUUAUCGUUUAUAACCAUUAAUUUUAGAAACUGGUCCUCAAAAUUAAUUUUUGUUCUUUUUUAUAGUUUAAAUAUAAAAAUAUAUUAAAGAAAUGCAAGAAAAUUUAAAUUUAAUUUGAAAUCAUAAUACAUGUGUUAAUAAAUGAAUGAUAUUAUUGAAUCUUGGUUAUUUAACUAAUAAUCGAAAGAAAAUAAAUCAUAAUUUGGAACGGAUAAAAAAUAAAAUAAUAUUUUUGUGCCCGAAGGAGUAUUUUACUCUAAAAUUUUGUAAGACUCUAAUUAAAUAUUGUUAAUUUUUAUGUUAUUAAUGAUUUUAAUUAAUAAUUUAAGUAAUUAAGCGAGAUUUAAGCAAACAGCCGCAGAGAAUUUGCUUAUAGAACUAGAGAAAAACUCAGUUUAAUAACAUGCUUAUGUUUAUGGUGGAGUGAGCUUCGACUUGGAUCAUCUGAACUAAUAAUUAAUAGGUUCAUCCUAAGAGAAGUCAAUUCGGUGGCCCAUAAUUUAGCUCAUCAUGUGCGAGAGGUUCCUCCUUCCAUUUAUGUGUUUGUUUUGCAAGAUUUACGACAUUUGUCUCCCUCUGUUUAAUAUUCAGCUGUUGUUUUCCUAAAAAAAAAUAAAAAUUAAUCACCCAUAUUUAUGCUUUAACUUUAGAAAUUACACAUAUAGUGGCUUGACUAAAUCUUUUUUUUUUUUAAUUUUAUUCGGACCACAUCUUGAAUAAAUUUGAUUUCAACUUUUAUAAAUAUUAUUGUUUUUAUUGUAUCACAUAAUAGUUGUCUAAAUCUAGCUAUUUGUUACAACUAUUUAAUCAAAACAUAAGGCCGUAAAUGUUAACCUAGAACAAGUAAAAAGAAAAAGAUUAAAAUAUACUUAAUUAUUUUAUUUUAUUUAAAUAACAUUUUGUAUAAAACUAAUUAUUUAUAAGAACAUUCUUAUAUAAUUAUAUUUUGUAUAGAAAUAAUCUCUAUAUACUUACAAAAAUUAUAAUCUUUUAAGUCUUUUUAUUUUUGAAAAAUUCCUUCCACAUCGACAUAUGCUAUAUUACACUAAAAGCUUAUCAUAAACUAACAAAUUUUGAUGAGUAUUUUUAAAAUCUUUUUCUUAAUAGAAAAGACAUUAAUCUGCAUAAUACAAUCAGACAUAGAAAUAAAUUAAUUUAAACAAAAUACUUUUUUAAAAAUUAAUUUUACAUUCAAAUUAUUUUUUGUGAAACAAAUGGAGCAUUAAAAUAAUUUUUCUUAAUCAAUUAGAAGAUUGAAUUAACAAUCGCUUGAAGAAGAACCAAGGAAUUAUAAGGUUAGGUAACCAUCUACCAACUUAGAAUGUAAAAUAACUUUGUAUAUAUUUAGAUGUGUAUUUAUUUUAAUAUUUUUGAGAUGAUAUCUGUCACUUUUAUCAAUUUUAGAUAAAUUGCUUAGCUGAUACUAAACUUUGGGACUGUAUAUUAAUUUGAUACUACGACUUUAAUUUGAAUUAAAAUGGUGCCAAAAGUACAGAAAAGUAUAUCAAUUUAAUCUAAAUGUCCAAUUUCCAACAAUGGAUGGUGACGUGGCAAGCUGAGGAGGUAUAUUCCGGUUGUUUUGCCCCCUCAGUGUGUGCCACGUUAAUUAACUUUUUCUCCUCAGCUUGCCAUGUCACCGUCCGUUGUCGGAAAUUGAACAUUUGAACUAAAUUGAUAUACGUUUCUGUACUUUUGAUACUAUUUUGAUUCAAAUUAAAAUUUUAGUAUCAAAUCGAUAUACAGUUUCAAGGUUUGGUACCAGCUGAACAAUUUAUCUUUAAUUUUAUGUAUAUCUUGGAUUUGAUAUGCUCCAAUAGAUUAUUAUUUCUACAGCAUUUGACUAAAAACAACUAAAUUUAAAUUAUAAUUUUUAUAAACAGGAUAAUGAAAAUAAUUAGUUUGGUUUAGUGAUAUGAUUAUAAAAAUAUAUUUUCCGCAUAAAUAAUAAGAAUAUGAAAUAGUUUUCAAAAAUAAGAAUAUGAAAUGAAAAAAAUACUUUGAAAAGAUAAUUUACAUAAGAAAAAGUAUUUUAAAGUAACAUUUCAACGAAAUAUGUGAGGAAACUUCACCACAGGCAUGAUCUUAUGUCGUUUUCCUUUCAACUAUAAAACGUCAUCCUAUUAUCCUGUUUCUGAACAUUAUUUCAUAUUUGAUUAUUGAGAUUGUCACGUCUACUUUUAAAGAGUUUCUUUUUUCUAUUACUUUUCUUUAAUUGGUGCAUGUUAUUAUCAUAUUAUAUAAAAUAUAUAACAUAUUACAAUAAUUAAAAUUACUUUCAUUGUAUUUUAGUUUUCCUUAUGAAUAAUUAUCGUAUGUAAACUUUUAGUAAUAUAAUAAGUUGGUCCAAUUAUAAAAGAAAGUAUUUAAUAGAACUGUUUAAAGAGACGAUUCACUGGCAUCACUAUCCAAUUUAUUUUCGUAAAAGAAAAAGGAAAAUAAAUAUUACCAUAAAAAAGUUUAAACUAGCAAUUUGUUACUUUGAAGCUUUAUUACUAGAACCUAUUAAAUCUAUCUUAAAAAUAUUUUAAUCAUUUAUUUCUAUUAUUAUUAUUUUAGUCGUGUUAAAUAAUAUUUAAUUAAUAUUUAAAAUAUAUGUAUGUUUAUAAUAUUUUUUAUUUUAUUGAGAUUUUAUCCGUCUGAAUUUUGUCAAGACAGUUCUAAAUAAAUAAAUAAAUAGUGGUCAGAUACAGAGUAGAGGUGUAAUUCUCAUCUGCGUUAUCUUUCUUAUAACACACACCACUCUAAUUUACACAACCAUAUGGAGUCCCUAACAAGUGCCAUAAUCAUCAUAAUAGCCUUUGUAACACUUCUCAUCUACUCUUUCAUACGGAAGUCAAGAAAGGCUUCCAAGAAGAGAGAACCGCCACAAGCUGCCGGUGCAUGGCCGGUUAUUGGCCACCUUCAUCUUCUAUCAGGCUCGCAGCCACCUCACAUAACUCUCGGAAACCUGGCUGACAAAUACGGGCCAAUAUUCACCAUCAAGCUUGGUGUCCACAGGACAUUGAUAGUCAGUAAUGG
rnacentral:lncRNA from 1 species